UGGGGAAUAUUGCACAAUGGGCGCAAGCCUGAUGCAGCCAUGCCGCGUGUGUGAAGAAGGCCUUCGGGUUGUAAAGCACUUUCAGCGAGGAGGAAGGUGGUGGACUUAAUACGUUCAUCAAUUGACGUUACUCGCAGAAGAAGCACCGGCUAACUCCGUGCCAGCAGCCGCGGUAAUACGGAGGGUGCAAGCGUUAAUCGGAAUUACUGGGCGUAAAGCGCACGCAGGCGGUUUGUUAAGUCAGAUGUGAAAAUCCCCGGGCUCAACCUGGGAACUGCAUUUGAAACUGGCAAGCUAGAGUCUCGUAGAGGGGGGUAGAAUUCCAGGUGUAGCGGUGAAAUGCGUAGAGAUCUGGAGGAAUACCGGUGGCGAAGGCGGCCCCCUGGACGAAGACUGACGCUCAGGUGCGAAAGCGUGGGGAGCAAACAGAUUAGAUACCCUGGUAGUCCACGCUGUAAAACGAUGUCGAUUUUGGAGGUUGUGCCCCUUGAGGCGUGGNUUCCGGAGCUAACGNGUUAAAUCGACCGCCNGGGG
rnacentral:rRNA from 1 species